GCGUUCUUAGCUCAGUUGGUUAGAGCACCACCUUGACAUGGUGGGGGUCGGUGGUUCGAGUCCACUCGGACGCACCA
rnacentral:tRNA from 1 species